rnacentral:lncRNA from 1 species
AGCCGUGCGCGUGCGGGUUCGGUUUCACAGAGGGUGGCCGGCGGAACCCGGAAGAGAGGUUAGAGGACCGGAUGUCGCCAUAACCGUGUGAAUGUCCCCAGUGUUGUGUCCAGUUUAUAACUCGGGCCGCUAAGUGAGUCAAUACGAACUCUGAGCUUGAGCGUUGCUGAGGAUCUCUUCCAGUGCUUGGAAAUGACGUAAAGGCUUUCUUGGAGCAUCAUUUGGACAAAUUAAGUCAAAUUACCAAAAGCACAUGCUGGGCUCCUGUAAGAUGAUAUCAUGAGUUCUAAAGGAAAGUAUGUAGACUUGGACAGACUCAGCUCCACAGCAAAUGUAAGGAUUCUCGACCCUUUUGUAAACUCUGACCUCUAGUAGCAUCUCUAGUUGCUCCUCAGGUUACCUGUUCAGUUUUCCAUAUUGUAGCCAAAGCUAUCUCAAAAAAAAAAAAAAAAACUAAUAUAAAUAAACAAAUAAUGCCAUGCCCCUGGAAUGCACUGGCUCCCUAUUGUCACCAUCUUAUGUUCAGUUUCACUUUAGCCACUUUUCAAGGGUAACUUCUCAACUCUCCACGGUAGAAUGUCCACAGACUAAUCCUUGAGACUUCUAAAUAUAUUAGAGGGCAUGGCAACGAAUAAAAGCUACUAGUUAACAUAACCUUAAAAUAGGAAGGGUACUCCAAGGACCCAAGGUAACAGUCUGUAAAACUGAUGGGGUGGGGCUGUCUGAAAAAAGAUUUGAUUACAAAGGAUGAUUAAACAAACACUGAUGGGUUUGAAGACAGAGGAAGGGAGUCAUUAUUCUGGAUGGUGGGUGACCUCCAGAAAAAUUGGUAACCAAUUCCUCCCCUAAAGCUUUUGUAAUGGAACUCAACCCUGUGAGGUUGCUGAACUAUAGAAUGUGUAAUAAUUAGUGUUGUCAUACAAAUAGGAAAACAAUUUAUUACUCUUCAAACAUCUUGUGCAAUCUGGGCAUUGUACGCUGUCCAUUGUGCUUGUUCCUGUUUCAAACUAGAGUAUCUUUUUCAAAGGCCUAUUCAUCUUUUAAGUGCUCUAGGAUAAUAUCUUUUUUAUUGUUUUGUUUCACAAGGUGAGGUGUCCUGUAGCCUAAUCUGGCCUUAGACUCAAUAUGUAAUUAGGGAUGGCCUUGAAUUCUUGGUCCUCCAGCAGACACGAGCCAGCACACUCAAACACACCUUUACUGUGGACACCAUUCAUUAUCUCAUUAUUUCCUCCCUUUCAUUCAGCAGUCACAGUGAAGACAUUUCACAACAACAAACAUCCUCCUGCCAUUUAGCACUGAGCUCCUCCUUGCAUUCAUUAUUUUAUGUUUUCUUCUUUUGAAUUAAAAAUGACAAAUAGAAACUCUUAUGCAUAGAGUACCAAAAUAAUUCUCGAUAAAUUUGCUAAUUGGUGAACUAUUGAUGCCCUAGCCCUAAUUCCAAACUGUAUAUUCCAAAGUCUGAGUUAUACAACAUGGUAAACAUGAUGAAACACCUGGCACCCUUGCUUGGUUAUAAGUUUCAUGUACUAAUGGUGUUGUGGUGCCCUUUGGAAUAGAGCCAUAUCCUAUGAGUUUUCAUUGGCUCCUUCUAUCUCUUGGCCAGUACUAAGUACAUUUCAUUAAAUUUUAAAUACUGGUUAUUUAAAUUUAAUGGAUGAAAUAAACUGUUAUGUCCUACCUUGUCUUUAUGAUUUGUUUUGCUAUAAGGAGAAUUCUUGUUAGGAAUUUUAUUAUUUUUAACAUUUUAACUUACUGUAACAAAAUCACCUAAAUAAACAAGGAGUUUGUACCACA